GACGAACCGUGCGAACGUUGUUCGGAUUCACUGGGCUUAAAGGGCGCGUAGGCGGGUCUUCAAGUCCGGGGUGAAAUCCUCUCGCUUAACGAGAGAACUGCCCCGGAUACUGAGGACCUCGAGGGAGGUAGGGGCAUGUGGAACUUCCGGUGGAGCGGUGAAAUUCGUAGAUAUUCGCAAGAACACCAGUGGCGAAGGCGGCUCACUGGCCCGGUACUGACGCUGAGGUGCGAAAGCGUGGGGAGCAAACAGG
rnacentral:rRNA from 1 species